AAAACAGGGAACUUCCUGUUUAUUAGCAAAUACAACCGGCAAAACAGAGAGCCCAGCUGCUUAAUACUGACAGUGUCACUCUGGGACAGCAGGGGGCAAUGGGGCAGUGCAAGCAAAGAAGUGAACACGAGCCCCUGCAAUAGGAGAUGAACUUUGAACACCAAAUAGGACACUCCUGUAAAUGAGGCAUUAUCCUCUGAGAUUUUCUUGGCUGAAAAUGCAUAUUUUUAAUUGGAUGGCUGACAUCCGGAGCACGGAAGUGCUGGUGCAAUGAGAGGAACAGACGGGCAGCACUUCCAGACCAACUGCACUAGUGCACAAGGGGCAACUUUAGACAACCUCCCCUUCCCCAGGAAGCCCUCUAUGCCACCCAAAAACAUGUCCCCGAGGCAUGGGCAGGCUCAAAAGUUGCAUGGUGCACUGCUUCACAUACAUGGGAGCUGUGGACUAGGUGAAUAAUCAAGGACUGAGAAGCUUGGGAUUAUUUAGACUAUUAGAUACAGAAAUAAAAUUGCAAACCAUUUCCAUAGGAUUAUUGACACAGGAGUCUUAGCAGAUACAAAGGGGAUGCAUACGAAAAAGUCAAACAUUAAAGACUACUGAAUUUUAAGAAGUGUUCAUUCUCCAGUGGUGCCUUCAUCAUCCAGGGGAAGACUGACUUAAGGAGAGAUCGGUUAAAAACAGAUUAAACGUUACCCAUUGUUUGUUUGUUUGUUUAUUUAUUUUAUUUAACGUAUUUUUAUACCACCCAAAACUUACGUCUCUGGGUGGUGUACAGUUCUUACAUUAAGAACUGUCCUAUACUUUGUGCUCUGUAAUUUUCUUCUUGCUUUCCCCUCUUCAGUAGGUUUCCUAAGGCCUGCUGUCAGAAGGCAAAGUCAUGCCUCUAAUAAACUUCUCUACGUGGCCAUCAAUGCUUUCUUUUCCCUUCCUACUGCUACUCUCUUCUGUGUGGAUGGCUCUGCUUUAUAGAAGUAACAGCAGUGGGUAGAAGCAGUAGCAGGAACCAGCGGGAGAGCGGUGUGUGCAUGUGCCUGUCUGUCUGUGUAUAUAGUACCUGGAAAUUAAACAGCUUUCCAAUGUAGCUUUUGGGUGAAUUACACCACCUGCCAAGCCUGUGGGAAUGGACCCCUGAGUGGUGAUUUCAGUUAUAAACUUCCUUUGGUAAGUCCACAUUUCUAUUCUUUGUGACAGGUAUUUCUUUCCCAGAGUAGUAGCCUAUGGCAGUUGGUUGGAAAGAUGAUAUUUCCGUGAGAUACAGCACACAAAGAGUGACAAAUUAAAAUGACAUGUCUGUCUUAGAAGAUUGUGAUCUAGUGGAAUGAAAAACUUCGGAUCCAGAUAAUGUCGAACUUGCUGUGUGGCAAUGCACUACAAGACCAGUUCAAUUUGCACAUGUCGUGCAUGGAGCUGAAUUUGUCACUUGGGCGCUGAAUCUUUUUAAAGCAAGAGCAAUGGGUACAGAUAGAGGAACUUCUUUUCCACAAAUGUAUCCAGGUCCUGUAAUGCAUUGCCCAGUGGUAACAUUUCUGAUCAUUCUGCUCGUGGAUGGACAGAAAUGAAACUGAGCAGUCAUUCUGGCUGACACGGGAGACAUGCAAGGGACAAUUUGUUAAAUGACGAAUGUGGAACUUGGCAUCGCAUUGCCUUUGACUCCGUGUCAUACGUCUUUUUAAUUUCAAGUUUGUCUCUCCUGAUGGGCUGAUAACGGCUUCUAAUGUUGCCCCUCUGAUCUUCAGAUGUUGCAUUUGAUCCUCCUGAAGUGGCAUCGUGACCGAAAUCUCUGGGGGUUUUUGCUCCUGGAAAAGGAGCUGAGCUACAUGUUCCAGAGAAUCACACUGAAGGGGCUUUCAGAGUCAUGGUGGAAAGGAGAGGGAAUGAAAACAACACAGUCACUUUCCAUUACUUGUAAAAGCAAUCUCUUUUUUUGUUGGGCGGAGAUAACCACAUUUUGAUGAAACAGACACUUUGCCAUAAGGCAAAGCAACAGGACCAAGCUUCCGAAGUUGUGCAAGAACUAAUGCAUUCUUCUCUUGAGACGAGAAUACUGACAUGGCAAUGAGCAAGCCCUACCAGACAGGUAUCCGGACUUUCCAGGUGCUUGACAACCCCUCUGUAUUACUGUCUUAGAGGAGGGGCAACAGAGCUACACUGGGUGGCCUGCAUUCAGCAUGAUGGGUCACAAAUUGCACAGAACCCCUACUGUACAGUGAUCUCCACCUGGAGGGUAACUUCGGAUAAGGGCUUGUGUUGCAGUUUCAAUUGUUUCUCAGAAACUUUGCUGUGGUGGAGGAGCUUUACUAGGAUAAGAACUCUCAAGGUGUCACUCUAAAAGCUUCAUGAUAGCUUUUUCAAAUCACUGAGGAUUAUAGGGAAAACCCUUCGAAUCCAAUCCAGAAUUCCUUGCUGAGCAAGGAGGCUCAUUUUCAAGUGGUAUUUCUCUUUACAUUUAGCAAGGGGAGAGCAACUAGCCCUAGCCACCCUCAGCACAGCAUCCCUCCAGUGGCUGUUGCUGGUGUCUACCUUGUGUUUUUAAGACUGAGUCCAUUGGGGACAGGGAACCAUCUUAUUUAUUUGUUGUUUGUUCUAUGUAAACUGCUUUGAAAACUUUGGUUAAAAAGCAGCAUAUAAAUGUGUAGUAGUAAUAGUAGUAGUUGUUGUUGUUGUCGUCGUCAUCAUCAUUUUUUCAGAUUCAUGGGGGAAUCAGACAAUGAAUUUGAGGAAACCUGGAGAAAGACUUAGUCAAGAUAGAUCUAACUUUGCAUCUUACUGCAAAUUCUGUGAGAGUACCAAAUUCUCUUUAAAACUUGGGAAAUCUUGCACCAUUCUAAUUAACUUGAAAUAACUGCCUGCUUUUUGCCGCCUCAGGAGUAUCCAUAUUACUGACAUAGUCAUUGCCUGAUCCACUAUAUUCCCCAUAUCAUUUCCAGUUGGACUAUUGUCUAGUGGUUACCACUCAUUUUUUAGCCUACUUUCCAGUAGGUUUAUGGGAUCACCCGACAUUGUGUGUGUGUGUGUGUGUGUGUGUGUGUGUGUGUGUGUGUGUGUGUGUCCAUCCGUGUGUGUCCAUCCGUGUGUGUGUGUCCCCACCAUCAACUUCGCAACGCCUGGACCAAUAUGAAGCAAAUUGGUUACAGUUGUAGGGACACAUAGGGACACCUCAAUGGCAUAGUUUGUAAUGAUGUCAUACACCCUGUUCCAAGAUGGUGGAUGCGUAAACAAACCACCUAACCGAUUUGAACCAAAUUUGCUACAGCUGUAUGGACACAAAGGGAUGCCCUUUGUGCCCGGAACCGCUCCUCCAUGUUUCAGAGGUGAUGGGGGUGUUCCCUUAAGGGUGGAGGA